GAUCUCAUGGAGACAUUUCCA
rnacentral:misc_RNA from 1 species